rnacentral:rRNA from 1 species
CCUACGGGAGGCAGCAGUGGGGAAUAUUGCACAAUGGGCGCAAGCCUGAUGCAGCCAUGCCGCGUGUGUGGAGAAGGCCUUCGGGUUGUAAAGCACUUUCAGCGGGGAGGAAGGCGUUAAGGUUAAUAACCUUGGCGAUUGACGUUACCCGCAGAAGAAGCACCGGCUAACUCCGUGCCAGCAGCCGCGGUAAUACGGAGGGUGCAAGCGUUAAUCGGAAUUACUGGGCGUAAAGCGCACGCAGGCGGUCUGUCAAGUCGGAUGUGAAAUCCCCGGGCUCAACCUGGGAACUGCAUUCGAAACUGGCAGGCUAGAGCCUUGUAGAGGGGGGUAGAAUUCCAGGUGUAGCGGUGAAAUGCGUAGAGAUCUGGAGGAAUACCGGUGGCGAAGGCGGCCCCCUGGACAAAGACUGACGCUCAGGUGCGAAAGCGUGGGGAGCAAACAGGAUUAGAUACCCCAGUAGUC